CGGGGUGCAGCAGGCGCGAAAACUUUACAAUGCUGGCAACAGCGAUAAGGGGACCUCGAGUGCCAGGAUACAAUCUUGGCUGUCGUGAUGCCUAAAAAGCAUUACAUAGCAAGGGCCGGGCAAGACCGGUGCCAGCCGCCGCGGUAACACCGGCGGCUCGAGUGGUAACCGCUAUUAUUGGGUCUAAAGGGUCUGUAGCCGGCCGGAUAAGUCUCUUGGGAAAUCCAGCAGCUCAACUGUUGGGCUUCCAGGGGAUACUGUUCGGCUCGAGGCCGGGAGAGGUGAGAGGUACUUCAGGGGUAGGGGUGAAAUCUUGUAAUCCUUGAAGGACCACCAGUGGCGAAGGCGUCUCACCAGAACGGUCCUGACGGCAAGGGACGAAAGCUAGGGGCACGAACCGGAUUAGAUACCCGGGUAGUCCUAGCCGUAAACGAUACUCGCUAGGUGUCGGCCACGGUGCGACCGUGGUCGGUGCCGUAGGGAAGCCGUGAAGCGAGCCACCUGGGAAGUACGGCCGCAAGGCUGAAACUUAAAGGAAUUGGCGGGGGAGCACAA
rnacentral:rRNA from 1 species